UCGAUGAAGAACGCAGCGAAUCGCGAUAUGUAAUGUGAAUUGCAGAUCUACAGUGAAUCAUCGAAUCUUUGAACGCACCUUGCGCUUAUCGGUGUUCCGAUGAGCAUGCCUGUUUGAGCGUCAUUAAAUUCUCAACCCCUCUCGAUUUGCUUCGAGAGGGAGCUUGGAUCGUGGAGGCUGCCGGAGACCUGUUUUUCAGGACUCGGGCUCCUCUGAAAUGUAUUGGCUUGCGGUCGACUUUCGACUGUGCAUGACAAGGCCUUUGGCGUGAUAAUGAUCGCCGCUCGCCGAAGUGCACGAACGAAUGGUCUCGUGCCUCUAAUCAGUCGACGCCUUUUCGAAGGCGUCUUCCUUAUUGACGUUUGACCUCAAAUCAGGUAGGACUACCCGCUGAACUUAA
rnacentral:rRNA from 1 species